GGUUAAGUGACUAAGCGUACACGGUGGAUGCCUGGGCAGUCAGAGGCGAUGAAGGACGUACUAACUUGCGAUAAGCGCAGAUAAGGCAGUAAGAGCCGUUUGAGUCUGCGAUUUCCGAAUGGGGAAACCCAACUGCAUAAGCAGUUACUGUUAACUGAAUACAUAGGUUAACAGAGCAAACCGGGGGAACUGAAACAUCUAAGUACCCCGAGGAGAAGAAAUCAACCGAGAUUCCGGUAGUAGCGGCGAGCGAACCUGGAUUAGCCCUUAAGCGCUCGGUGAAGUAGGUGAACAAGCUGGAAAGCUUGGCGAUACAGGGUGAUAGCCCCGUAACCGACGCUUCAUCGAGCGUGAAAUCGAGUAGGGCGGGACACGUGAUAUCCUGUCUGAAUAUGGGGGGACCAUCCUCCAAGGCUAAAUACUCCUGACUGACCGAUAGUGAACCAGUACCGUGAGGGAAAGGCGAAAAGAACCCCUGUGAGGGGAGUGAAAUAGAACCUGAAACCGUGUACGUACAAGCAGUAGGAGCACCUUCGUGGUGUGACUGCGUACCUUUUGUAUAAUGGGUCAGCGACUUAUAUUCAGUGGCAAGGUUAACCGUAUAGGGGAGCCGUAGCGAAAGCGAGUCUUAACUGGGCGUUCAGUCUCUGGAUAUAGACCCGAAACCGGGUGAUCUAGCCAUGGGCAGGUUGAAGGUUGAGUAACAUCAACUGGAGGACCGAACCGACUAAUGUUGAAAAAUUAGCGGAUGACUUGUGGCUAGGGGUGAAAGGCCAAUCAAACUCGGAGAUAGCUGGUUCUCCCCGAAAGCUAUUUAGGUAGCGCCUCGGACGAAUACUACUGGGGGUAGAGCACUGUUAAGGCUAGGGGGUCAUCCCGACUUACCAACCCUUUGCAAACUCCGAAUACCAGUAAGUACUAUCCGGGAGACACACGGCGGGUGCUAACGUCCGUCGUGGAGAGGGAAACAACCCAGACCGCCAGCUAAGGUCCCAAAGUAUUGCUAAGUGGGAAACGAUGUGGGAAGGCUCAGACAGCUAGGAUGUUGGCUUAGAAGCAGCCAUCAUUUAAAGAAAGCGUAAUAGCUCACUAGUCGAGUCGGCCUGCGCGGAAGAUGUAACGGGGCUAAGCA
rnacentral:rRNA from 1 species